rnacentral:lncRNA from 1 species
CCGCGCACUGAGUCACCCCGCCCCACCGGCCGCCGCCCCGUGGCUCCCACACCUCUGAGCCUGCGCAUACUGCUGCAUUUUCCCCUACCCCACCCCCGUCCCUGUCCUCGCCCCAUCCGCCGCUCCCGUGCGUGCGCGCGUGCGCGCGCGAACUAGGCGCCAGGCACUGGGAAAGGACGUCCGCGCUACUUUGUUGCCAUCGCAACGUCAGGCAGGGAGACAAAGCUUCCUGGAGGCUGAUUUGCUUGAUCUUCUGUGUAAGUGGCAGAGCCGAGGAACCACAGGCAUUGAAGUGGAGGGGAUCAAAAUCUUAAUAGAUGGGGAAGCUGAGAGAUAGUCAGCAGCCAAACAAGAUGAAGUUUGGGAGGUCUUCGGUUCCUCAGAUAAUGCCACUGGGCUUCUCCAGUUUUACCUGCCAGAUCUCCGUGGGAAACUGCCAUCGCUAGUCCAAGUGCUAAAGGGUCCUGGAAGCUUGCAUGGCAGAGAAGAAAAUCUGUUCUGACCUCAUAGUUGCCAUCAGGUACAGCAAGGUUCCUAGACAUAUAAGGUCACCAUGCCUCCAAACAAGAAAUCGAGAAGAUGCUUACUGUGUUGGACAUGAGCGAAUAUCUGACGCAGCCAGACAUGGUGAUGCAGUUUUAAUGCCAGCACUUGGGAGGCAGAAGCAAGCAGUGAGUUCGAAGUCAGCUUGGUCUUGUAUUACUCCGUUACAGCAGUGCGCUGCCCUGUACUGAGUCCGGUAGGGCUAGGUCAACCAGAGGCUGACUAGCCAGUGAGGAGUGCGGCAGAGCGUCAGGCGGCGUUUCGGAAGAGCAGACCUCUUCCCAAGUGUAUGGCUCUUUGGACAGAAGGCUGGGACCCAGGGGUAGUUCUCGCACCCCUAAUCCUCCCAGAUAGGAUUCUUAUAUACAGUUUUGGGGUGGGUAAGGGUCUGACAACAGGCACUUCUCAUUGGUUUGUCUGAGAGCUUUGGGGAAACCUUAUUUGCAUGUGGAAGGAGGUGACUAAUGGCUACAUACAUCUCUGCAGGGGGCUGUGGGAGGCUGUAGCAGUGACAGGAGCCAGGGGCCCAGGAGGCAUGGUCAAACACCUUCUGUCCUAUGCAGGUGGAAAUCACCACCCACUGGGUCACAGGGGUUCCAAACCUUUGUUCGACCAGGGAUCAGGCUGUCUGUGCACAGCCCACCACCUCACACACUCAAUCAGAGUGGGGGUGAAGUUGAGGAGCAACUUUAUUUCAAGGGAAACAGGAAACGGGGGAUAAAGGAGGGGCCAGGAGAAGGGAGAGCCUUGUGGUAGUUUAAGUGAGAAAUGCUCUCCCCUAGCCUCAGGUCCUCAGGGGACCUCAGGUCCUCACUGGGGAACGGGCAGCCUGGUGGGGGCAGUACGCUGCUGGGGGCACUGGGGAUGGGGCAGUCUGGUGGGGGCAGCCUGGUGGGGGUCGGGUGGGCUGAGAGUUUACAGCUUCGCCUCCCAUUGAGUAUGUUGCACUUUUGGGUAAAGAAGUGAACACCCAGCUUCUUGUUCCUGCUACCAUGCCUGCCGGCCACUUGGACUCUCCCUCUAGAACCAGAAGCCAAAAUAAACUUUCUCCAUUGAGUUAUGUUUGCUCAAGAUAUUUGACUACAGCAACAGAAAACUAAUCAAUACAAACCCAUCCCAAGGACACACCCUAAUGACCUGCUUCCUGUAGGCUUCAACCCCCAUGCUUCACCUCCUCCAAAAGAGUCCAUCAAGUAAUGGCUCCUUCAAGAGAUUAAUCCACUGAUUAGAUCAGAACUCUCAGCAUCCAGUCAAACCCAUGAGCUGGCAGCCAAGGCCCUGGUGGUGCCUGAGGUUCUGAAGGAUGUGCCACACUCAUUUUAUUCAGCAUACAAGGUCAAACUAGUACAUGGAGUAUUGAGACAUCGAACCAAGAGGAAUUAAUAAAACCUUGGCAAUGCCAGGGUGGGACCUAUAGCUGUAGUGCUAGCUCAUUGCUUUGUGUAAGCUAUGGGAUCAAAUUGGCUGUCCAAAACAUAACCAAAAGCACGUUGGGGGUGAAAAGGUUUAUUUGGCUUACACUUCCACAUUGCAGUCCAUCCUUGAAGGAAGUCAGGACAGGAACUCAAACAGGGCAGGAACCUGGAGGCAGAAGCUAAUGCAGAGGCUAUUGAGGUGUGUUGACUACUGGUUUGCUCAUCAUGACUUGGUCAUCUUAUUCUCUUACAGAAUCUAGGACCACUAGCCUAGGGAUGACACCACCCACAAUGGUCUGGGACCUCCUACUAAUAAAAAAAAAUGUCCUACAGCUGGAUCUCAUGAAGUCAUUUUCUCAGUUGAGGUUCCCUCUUUUCAGAUGACUCUAGCUUGUGUCAGACUGAUAUAAAACUAGCCAGGUCAGUGACUGUCUUCAUCCAAGUGAAGACAGUGAAGCAGAAAGGCAAAAUGUUGUCUUAGUUAGGGUUUCUAUUGCUGUAAAGAAACACCAUGACCAAGGCAAUUCUUGUAAAGGAACACAAUUGAGCUGGCUUACAGGUUCAGAGGUUUAGUCCAUUAUCAUCAUGGAGGGAAGCAUGGUGACAUGCAGGCAACAUAGCGCUGGAAAGGAGCUAAGAGUUCUACAUCUGGAUCUACAAGCAACAAGAAGAAAACUAGAACUAAGUUUCUCAGACCGCAAAGCCUGACCCUGUAAUAUCCAAAAUGAAUUCAAGACCACCCAGUACCUUCCCCCUUCAAAAAGGACUUUCCAAACUAACUGUACUAGCAGGCCAAGUGCAGAGCCAGAUAAGGAAGCUGGCUGACUAAACAAUUGUAAAAACAUAGUUUUAGCAGUCAAAAUGACUGAGCCUACAAGCUGCCAAAACAAUAUUAGCUGUUCUCAGAGAAAUAACCAUAACAAGAUUAGCAAUUCUUCUACCCCCCCCCCCCCGCCCCACACUGAAUUCUGACAAAGACCACAAACCACCCUGACCUUGUGAGAAUUCCCCUGACUUUAAUAACUGUGACGUUAAUAACUGACCCAUAAGUUCAAAAUGUACUAUUACUUUGCUGACCAAAUCAUAAUAACCCACCAUGGGGGCAAGCAAAGCGACUAGGCCAAAGGGUUACUUAGUCACUAUACAAACCAACCAGUACCUAAAAGGGUUACUUGCUACACCAAUGAAAACCCUGUUGCUCAAAUCUAUCCCUUACAAAGGUAUAAAAACUGUGUACUUUCUUUGUUCUGGGUCUCUUCUCUGGCCUGCAUGCUGAGAGGGGAGUCCCCAACAUGUUGGAAUAAUAAAAAUCCUCAUGCAUUUUGCAGCGAU